UGGGGAAUUUUGGACAAUGGGGGCAACCCUGAUCCAGCAAUGCCGCGUGUGUGAAGAAGGCCUUCGGGUUGUAAAGCACUUUUGUCCGGAAAGAAAUCCCUUGCCCUAAUACGGCGGGGGGAUGACGGUACCGGAAGAAUAAGCACCGGCUAACUACGUGCCAGCAGCCGCGGUAAUACGUAGGGUGCGAGCGUUAAUCGGAAUUACUGGGCGUAAAGCGUGCGCAGGCGGUUUUGUAAGACAGGCGUGAAAUCCCCGAGCUCAACUUGGGAAUGGCGCUUGUGACUGCAAGGCUAGAGUAUGUCAGAGGGGGGUAGAAUUCCACGUGUAGCAGUGAAAUGCGUAGAGAUGUGGAGGAAUACCGAUGGCGAAGGCAGCCCCCUGGGACGUCACUGACGCUCAUGCACGAAAGCGUGGGGAGCAAACAGGAUUAGAUACCCUGGUAGUCCACGCCCUAAACGAUGUCAACUAGUUGUUGGGGAUUCAUUUCUUCAGUAACGUAGCUAACGCGUGAAGUUGACCGCCUGGGGAGUACGAUCGCAAGAUUA
rnacentral:rRNA from 1 species